rnacentral:rRNA from 1 species
UACGUAGGGACCAAGCGUUGUUCGGAUUUACUGAGCGUAAAGGGCGCGUAGGCGGCGUGUUAAGUCACUUGUGAAAUCUCUAAGCUUAACUUAGAACGGUCAAGUGAUACUGAUGUGCUAGAGUGCAGAAGGGGCAACCGGAAUUCUUGGUGUAGCGGUGAAAUGCGUAGAUAUCAAGAGGAACACCUGAGGUGAAGACGGGUUGCUGGGCUGACACUGACGCUGAGGCGCGAAAGCUAGGGUAGCAAACGGG